AGGACGAACGCUGGCGGCGCGCCUAACACAUGCAAGUCGAACGAGCAAAGAGGAGCUUGCUUCUCUGAGCGAGUGGCGAACGGGUGAGUAACGCGUGAGGAACCUGCCUUUCAGAGGGGGAUAACAUUUGGAAACAGAUGCUAAUACCGCAUAAGAUUACAGUACCGCAUGAUACAGUGAUCAAAGGAGCAAUCCGCUGAAAGAUGGGCUCGCGUCCGAUUAGCUAGUUGGUGGGGUAACGGCCUACCAAGGCGACGAUCAGUAGCCGGACUGAGAGGUUGAACGGCCACAUUGGGACUGAGAUACGGCCCAGACUCCUACGGGAGGCAGCAGUCGGGAAUAUUGCGCAAUGGAGGAAACUCUGACGCAGUGACGCCGCGUGCAGGAAGAAGGUUUUCGGAUUGUAAACUGCUUUAGACAGGGAAGAAAAAAGACAGUACCUGUAGAAUAAGCUCCGGCUAACUACGUG
rnacentral:rRNA from 1 species